UUGAAGGAUAACGAAGCAGAGUUUAUGCAGUACCUCUUGCCAGUUGGACGAGGUCCAUCAUCAAAAAUGUGCCCGAGGUGUGCACCGCACUGACUGCAGGAUAUUUCAAUCCGAUGCAUCCCAUAGGAAAAAUCAUCAGUGAGAGUAAUUGUAUCGGGACUGAUCACAUCAUAGAAGGAAGGCCAUCCUGAAUUGGAGUCAAACUUCGUUUCUGACUUGAAUAAAGGAGUUCCACAAACAACACAUUUGUAUAUUCCUUGAGCUUUAUGAUGUGUGUACUCCCCCUCAAAGGCACUGGGAAAACAAU
rnacentral:lncRNA from 1 species